rnacentral:lncRNA from 1 species
CCUGAGGUAUAAAAAGUAAAAACUAAAUGUUUGAAAAAUUAUUCUUAUGAAAACUGUCUCUCAAGAUUGCACUUUUCUUUACACAUGCACUAGGUGAAAUUUAUUAGUUUGUUCAUAAGCUCAACAAAGGCAUGUCUUCCUAAUUAUUUUUUCUUUUUUCAUUUUUUGAGACAGAGUCUCACCCUAUUGCUCAAGCUGGAGUGCAGUGGUGUGAUCUCGGCUCACUUCAAUCUCCGCCUCCCGGGUUCAAGCUAUUAUUCUACUGCCUCAGCCUACGAGUAGCUGGAACUGCAGAAGAAACUCUGAAAAGACAGUCCAGUUCUGGUGUGGCAACUCCAUACUCUUCGAGGUCCCACGUUCCUUCCCUCUUGCUGUUCUAACCAUCUUUAUUGUCCUGCCCCAUACUGGAAGGUAUAUUUCCCCGAAGAUUUCCUUGGUUCCUGUUAUGUGAAUAGACUCCAUUUCUGUUUCUCUGGCCUUUAAAUCUUUGCCGAUGCAUGGUCUAGCAUCUCCCUUGCCUUCUCAACACAGCUUUCUUGAUAAGAUUAUUGUACCCCAAGUUCCAUAUGUUGAAAACUGAAAUUAAAACUGUCCACCAAAAAUAACUUAUCCAAU